CUGGCUUCCUCCAGAACCAGUGGUGCAUUUUGGAGCCCUGAAGGUCAAGGGAAAUAAUGGCAAUCAGCUCCAUGUUCAAGUCUCUUGGAGUAUCCCAACAUCCUUGGCUGAAGAGUGAGUAAAUCUUGCUGAUGGCCCGCUGCGCCCAGGAUCCCGUUUUCCUGUCUCAAGAGUCUUCCCAGGGCUGAGAAAGCCAAGUGUCUGUGCUGGAGUCACGAUGUUUCACUGAUUUCACUCAUUCCCACUCUAUCAAUAGAUGACAUAAAGGAAGAGGAUACUAGGUGGUACUGAGAAACAGUGCUGCCACGCAGUCUGGUAUGGACCC